rnacentral:rRNA from 1 species
UACGAAGGGGGCUAGCGUUGCUCGGAAUCACUGGGCGUAAAGGGUGCGUAGGCGGGUUCUUAAGUCAGAGGUGAAAUCCUGGAGCUCAACUCCAGAACUGCCUUUGAUACUGAGAGUCUUGAGUAUGACAGAGGUGAGUGGAACUGCGAGUGUAGAGGUGAAAUUCGUAGAUAUUCGCAAGAACACCAGUGGCGAAGGCGGCUCACUGGCCCGAUACUGACGCUGAGGUGCGAAAGCGUGGGGAGCAAACAGG